AACCUUUCCUCCACUUUGCUGAUUACUUUCCCCUCAAAACUGCGAAACCUGGAGGAUUGAAAUGAAACACUUCCAAACUAUUAUUUUAACAAAUAUGCAACACUUAAAAAAAACUUCAUUACUCAUGCCAUGCUGUUUGUCUGCUUGAAACAGCAGAACUGUGGAAUGAAAGUAAAGACUGGGAAUCCAUGAGUCCAUCAUUCCUGACUUCUCUCUUGAAAAUAGCGUAUAGAAAUUGGCACGGUUGAGAUUACUGUGAUUAUAGACAUGACAUGUAAGCACAUCUGCUCUCUCCUCAGUGUGUGAAUGGCUGUCUCUCAGGUGGCACCUAGGGCUACUCAUCUAUGGCGUCUCAUUCCGGCUCCAUCAGGCACAUAAUGGUCACUCCAUUCUCAUCUUACACAGAGAAGUUAGGUGAAUCCACAGUGCGCCCAAAUCAGAUGAUUGUGUGACUGUAGCUUGGGGAGGGGGGGCAUUUUUCAGGUAUUUUAUGAUUGAACCCACUCGACUAAUCUGUAUCUGCUUCUGUAAAUCAUAAACAAUUGCAUGUAAGCACAGGGAUAUGUGUGGAGGAUAAUGCUGCCGGUGUGUUUGAGGGAAGUUAACAUUACAGGGGGUUUGAAGAACCAAGAAACAUAUUAGUUGGGAAGCUGGAGUGAGUUGGUGAGGGGCCAAGUCAAUCGAAAAAGGUCUUUGAGCCUCGGUGGGGCAUUUUGGCAGGGCCUCUUCUGAGUGCUCGAGCUCACUGCCCAUGCUAGAUUCAUCCCCGAGCCAGGGGUGUCUUUUCAUGCUCAGAAUGCAGACGCAGAGCAACAUUGCCACGAGGGCCAGAACAAUAUAGCUAAGCUCUCACCAUUAGUUCCCACUCCUUUUUUUGUGUGUGUGUGUGAGUCUGCAACAGCCUGUAAUUACCUCCAGCUGAAAACAAGAACAUGCUGAAAUGCCCAUUGCGGCAUAGAAAUGGAAUUAUAGCCCAUGUCUCUUUCCUUUCUCUCUCCAGAAAAUACAUCUCUUUGUGUGGGAUGUGUUCAGUAUAGUUGGAACUGUUUUUGCAGAGAAAAAAAGGGGGGAGUUCUUUCCACAGGCCAGUCAUGUGUGAAGUUCUUUGUUAAAAAAAUCCCCCUCCUGUCUUGAUGAUGAUAGAAAAUUGAUCAGGCCUGAAUCAGAGGUUCAAUGUGUCGUCCCCUGUGUCUAUUGUCUAGGUGAAUAGCACAUGCUGAAGGCCCAGAGCAGGUUGCUAUUAAUAUGACAGUCCACUCCAUACUCUGCUAUAAUUUCUAAUGAAAUACCUAAUCUCCAUUAUUUGGAUCCAAGCAGGCGAUACCGAGAGAGAGAGAAGAGCGAGGGAGACGGGAGAGAGAGAGGGGCAGCCAGAGAGGAAGAAAAGGCUUUUCUUUGAGUUCUUCAUGGCAGUUGUAUGAGAAAUGACAAACCAAUAAUUUUUGUCAAGUUCUCUUUUUUUAGCCAACUGAAACGCAGUGGAUUGCCACAGUUUAAAAAGACACAGAUAAAGACAUUCAGAGCCAUUCAUGCACCAUUUCUUUGCUGAAUGAGGACGCCAUCUGUUUUUUUUUUUACUUCCUUUUCCUCCCCCCUUCUCCUUUUUUCAAUCCUUGUAAUCAAAUUUGAGCGAAAUCAAAUGGGGAGGGGGGGCUCAAUGAAAGUACCUUUUGUUGGUUUGAAACGAGCAAGUAAUUUACAAAAUGCCCUUCCUUUGUGUGCGAGGCUAAAGGAAAAAAGAAAUCAGUAGCUUUUAAAGCUAGGCCUUGCUGUGACUGCGAAGAUAAUGAAAGCCGUCUGUGUUGUGGGUUAGAAAGCACUUUCAAAGACAGGCCUGGCUCAGGGUUGCGACGCUGAAAAACCUCCGCGCGCGUGUGUUUGUUUUGUGUGGAGUGCCGAAGGCAGGCAUCCACACACUGCGAUCUCGGGGGUGAGAUGGGGAAGACAGCUGCCCCGGCGAAGACGAAGGGGAAGGGGAAGGAGCCGCCUGGCACUGAUGUGUACCUGCUCUCUCUUCAGGCAGGCUCCCCCUCACAAUAGGAACCGGCAAGAGAGGGAAGCACUGCGUGGAGUGUACGAGGGAUCCGCCUGGACUUCAACUUACAUCUGAUCUACUCUACACUAAAGGAUGGAUGGAUAGAUGAUGGACGUUGGCUGGGAAGAGAAGAGGAAAGGAAAGGAAGAGAGGAGGAUGGCAGGAUGUUUUCUGGUAUCAGGCAGGUGGCACUGGUCGUGGAGAUCUGGUCUCUGUGAAGGAAGUGAUGAAAAGGAGAAGGUUGAACAAUCCCCCCGCUCUGGCUACCUAGAGGAUCCAGAAGCCCCAGGAAAACGUGGAAGCCGGAGCAGUCUGGGAAGUGGAUUAGGCACGCAGGUGCAGACCUGGGCUGGCGACCAAAGACUAACGUUAAGCGAGAAGACUGAGCGGCUGUAUGCUGGUGUCGGAGCUAUGCUGCCCCGGGAAGCCAGCGAGCCAGGGAGGCAUGAGAACAGGGUGCCCGGGGAGAGUACAGUAGUUUCAGAUCUCGCCGGAAAAACCGUCAGCGGGGCUUGACGGCACACUUCUAACACUGGUGGGAUACAUCGUUCUGCCAAUCAACCCACGAUAAGGACAACUCCCAACUGAAGCUGCAUACACGCCUUUGUCUGCGGAUUUCGAGGAAGCCACCAUGCAAAAGGUUGUUCCAUGUUAUCCUAGUCUGAGAGGGAAGAUAAAACGCCCAUAAUGUUGAAGAUUCACAUCAAGUUUUCCCCAGCAUGGCUGUGAUAAUUGGAUUUUGCGGACACCUGUAUGAGUGCAGUAUAUCCAGGGGAUUAUAACCAGGGAUGGGGGGAGCCCGGCUGUUUGCUGUCCUCUGUGUCACUUCCUUCAAGCACACAGAUAACCGGCCUGGUCCACGGAGAUAGCAGCCCUCUAUCACAUCAAGUGCUGCUCAAAUCCCAGGACUGAGUGUUUGUCUGAGGGGACCGAGUCACGCACGCACACACACACACACAUGCACUAACACACACACACACACACAGACACACCUGUGACUGGGACGCUGAUGCCUCCCUCAAGGCAGGUGUCUGAAUGAGAACUUGCGUGCGUGUGUGUGUGUGUGUGUGUGUGUCAGGGAGAUGACAAAAGUACGAGAACGUGUAAGAGAUGUUGAUCCAGUUAGUGUGAUUACAUGUGUAUGAGAGUGUAUGUGUAUUUGUAGAGAUUUGUGUGUG